rnacentral:rRNA from 1 species
CCUACGGGAGGCAGCAGUGGGGAAUAUUGCGCAAUGGGCGAAAGCCUGACGCAGCGACGCCGCGUGAGGGAUGAAGGUCUUCGGAGCGGAAACCUCUGGCAGCAGGGAAGAAAGGUCACUGUGCUAAGCAGCAGUGAAUUGACGGUACCUGCAAAGGAAGCACCGGCUAACGCCGUGCCAGCAGCCGCGGUAAUACGGAGGGGGCGAGCGUUAAUCGGAAGUACUGGGCGGAAAGCGCUCGUAGGCGGUAGGUCAAGUCAAGGGUGAAAUCCCCGCGCUCCACGUGGGAACUGCCUUUGCAACUGGCAAACUGGAGUGUGUGCGAGGCUAGUGGAAUUCCCGUUGUAGACGU